CAUUUUCAUUUCUCAUUUUCCUUCCAAUCAAUCAUUCUACAUAGGCUCGAGAAAGGGAAGGCUAGUCCUGAGCAGCGCUAUGUACGAAAGAUCAACCUACUCAAAAGUUAAUCCAAUAUUUUCUCACCAGUCGAACAGAGGUUCCAGGCAACGGUUCCAACCAAGUAGAGCCCAACUGAAACCUUGAAACAUCAUCCCACGAACCUGAAAAAGG
rnacentral:misc_RNA from 1 species